rnacentral:misc_RNA from 1 species
GAUGAAGAACGUAGCGAAAUGCGAUAAGUAAUGUGAAUUGCAGAAUUCAGUGAAUCAUCGAAUCUUUGAACGCACCUUGCGCCCUUUGGCCAUUCCGAAGGGCAUGCCUGUUUGAGUAUCAUGAACACCUCAACUCUUCAUGGUUUUCCAUGAUGAGCUUGGACUUUGGGGGUCUUGCUGGCCUGUGGGUCGGCUCCUCUCAAAUGAAUCAGCUUGCCGGUUUUUGGUGGGCAUCACAGGUGUGAUAACUAUCUACGCUUGUGGUUUUCCACCAGGGUAACCUUCAGCAGUGGAGGUUCACUGGAGCUUACAAAUGUCACUCCUCUGUGAGGACAGCCCUUUGAAUGUUUGAUCUCAAAUCAGGUAGGACUACCCGCUGAACUUAAGCAUAUCAAUAAGCGGAGGA